rnacentral:sRNA from 1 species
GCUGAGCGUAGUGGUGCACACCUGUAAUCCUAGCAGCUUGGGAGGCUGAGGCAGGAGGAUCACAAGUUUAAAGCCAGCUUUGGCAAAAAGCAAGGCACUAAACAACUCAGUGAAACCCUGUCUCUA